rnacentral:lncRNA from 1 species
AUUCCUCACACUUGAUAUGUCUCCCAUAUAUAUAUAUAUAAUUUUUUUUAUCAAGGUAGCUAUAAAUAUACAAGAAUAUUGUUGUUUUUGAUACGAGAGAAACAUAAAUCAAUAUAUAAAAAAAGAGAAACAUUACUCAAACUUUGAGGUAAAUUAUAAAAAUACAAAUACUAUGACAUACAUAUGAAAUUAUAUAAUUAUUUGAUAAACUCCACACAAAGGCCAUGGAUGAACCUCAUAUAAAUAGCGGAUCAGUUCUGAUAAACUCCACACAAAGGCUGUGAAUGCACCUCAUAAGAAUAGCAGGACACUCAUUUGGACAUUGAUCAUCAGAAUAACAGCCAUGAUACACAACUGCAAUGUCAUAUAAGCAAAAAGAAUGUCACUAAAAGGUGAUAAUAUUUUGAUAAUAAAAUAAAUUAGAAAAUGGUGUGACAUACUACGGUCAUUUGUUAAAGCAAGAAAUGGAGAAAGAAAG